ensembl:lncRNA
AUGGGUGGUGGUAGCAUGCUGGGUGGGGGUGGUGAACUCUGUGGGGGCAGAGUGCUGGGAGUCAGCAGCAUGCUGGGGAGCUUUCCCAGCAUAUUGCUCUUCAUUCAUGGCAAUGGCAAUUCUGCCAGAAGAAAAGAGCUCAAUAUACUCCCUGAAACUCCCCUUGUUGUGGGCAUGUUCUUUGGUGUCUUUGCUGCCUCCUGUGGGGUCCCUCUUCAUAGCUGCCACCAGCACUUUCUCCAGGAACAGGGGUCUUGCGUAUGGCUUUCCUUUGUUGGCUUCCUUCACCUUUCAAGCUUUCACUGUAUCAGUCAGAUUCGGGUUGCCAUUAGCCCAUCUCCUGAAGCGACGGUCCAUCUAAAUAAAAAAAAAAGUAAAUCCCCUUAAACUAUUUUCAACACUUUGAAGCCCUCUGCUCUAUUACAAGUAAAUAGAUUAGAUAGAUUAAAUUUUAUUGUUAUUAUGCAGAGUACACGUACAGAGCUAAUGAAAUGCAGUUAGCAUCUAACCAGAAGUGCAAGAAUAUAGUGUUUUAUAUACAUAAAAGUGCAGAGUAAGUAAAGCUAUGAUAUACAGAAUGUACAGUGGAGUUGCUAUAUACAAUAUUGAUCAGAAUAUAAUUAAUACAGAAUAUAAAUAUGAAUGCAAUGUAGGGAUUGUAUUAUGGAACCAAAAGAGUCUCAAUAAAGAUAAAUGCACACACUACAUUCACAUAUGCACACACAGGAUUCAUACAUGCACACACGAUUCAUAAAUACACACACAGGAUACACAAAUGUGCACAAAAUUUACAAAUGCACACACAAAAUUUAAAAAGCACAGAAGAUUCACAAAUGCAUACAAAAUUCAGAAAUGCACACAAAAUUCAGAAAUACACACAUAAUUCAGAAAUGCAAACAACAUUUACAAAUGCACUCAAGAUUCACAAAUGCAUAGAACAAGAUUCAGAAAUGUAUUUCUGAUGCACAUACACAUAUAUAUUGAUUUACAAACUGCUUGCGGUCUGUGAACUUCACUGCAUUCGUGUGUGAAUUUUGAGACUCCUCUGACUUGGCUUGACACACAAAUGCAUGGAAUGAUCAGCAACCAAUCAGAUGUCUCCCUUCUUUUAGCCAAUCACAAGAACGCACUCCACGUGAUUGUUUACUUAUAAGCCAAUCACAUGAAUGGGUUCACACAGCCUAUUUAUGAAAUUGUAUGGAAAUACAGAUGUUUAGAUUACAAUUCAGGUUUAUUUUUUAUUAUUUUUUACAAAAUAUAAAUUUAAAAAUGUCUCAAUACAUAUAGCCCAGACUGUGACUGCAGAAAAAAAGUUAACCAUGGAUUCAUAAAUUUGCAAUAGCCAAUUAUUUCAUUUUAUUGAAACAUUUUAAUGAAAGUAAAAAAAAAAAAUACACCUUUUUGAAUAUUUUAAGUAUAUCUAAAAAUUAUUUUGGAUGCAAUAUAGAAGUCACUUUAAAGGGGGGGUGAAAUGCUAUUUCAUGCAUACUGAGUUUUUUACACUGUUAAAGAGUUGGAUUCCCAUGCUAAACAUGGACAAAGUUUCAAAAAUUAAGUUGUACAUUUGAAGGAGUAUUUCCGUUCCAAAAAUACUCCUUCCGGUUUGUCACAAGUUUCGGAAAGUUUUUUUUUUUUUUUUAUUAAAUGAUUGUUGAAGAUAACAGCAAAACAUAUACAAAAAUAUAAAAAAAAAAAAUAAAAAAAAAAUUAACAACAGUCAUUGUCAUUAAGGGUGUACUCACACUAGCCAGUUUGAACCGUGCCCAGGUGCGUUUGACCACCAAAGCGCGGUUCGUUUGACUAGUGUGAGUGCUCCGAAUAGUGCCCGGGCGCGGCUCGAUUGGCCAGCCCUGGCCCGCUUGGAAGAGGUGGGCCAGGGCACGGUUCAGUUGGACUCGGGCGCGGUUCGCAUGCAGUGUGAGCGCUAACCGUGCCGGAGCACGGAAAAGGACGCGUUGCGUCACGGUUUUGUGACGCUCCAAAACCAACAUGGCAGGGAAAGGGUCGCUUUGGUCUAUGGCAGAGGUGCAAAACGCAUAAAAAUUAAAAACUGCAAAGUCCUUGCUGCACUUCAGCUGGUACCUUGCAAACAUCCUCAUACGAGCAGCGCGAUUAUGUGAAAAUUUUCGCGCCACUAAGGCGACACAUCUGUUUAACAACAGGCUGUGAGAGGGCUGUGGACCAAACGAAACAAAAUUAUCCACAAAGAAAACAGAGCGAUGUACUCCAUUGCGUUCAGAGAGCGCCGCUCUUCCUGUUUAUCCCGAAACCGUCGCACCAUAAUGACGUAAGCGUGCCCCGGCACGAAUGCUGAAACGCUAUAUGUGAGUGCAGGCCAGAGGGGGAGUGGGGAGGGGGGACAAUCGUACUCGGGCCCGGUUCAUGGCAACCGUGCCUAGUGUGAGUACACCCUAAAUUACAACCAUACUCUAGAGACCCUCAGUCCAGAAUAAGUUCCUUCAGUCUUUCAGUCCAGAUUAAGUGACAAGUUUCGGAAAGUUUUUUUCGAGUAUGGCUCUGUGUGACGUUAG